rfam:Eubacterium sp. CAG:202 genomic scaffold, scf162
AACAGAGUAGAAAUUUGUGCGUAAAGUGUUUUGUGGACGGGGAGUUGCCACAAAAACGAAAGGGUAUCCUGCGGUACAAGUUUCGCAUCCCGCUGUU